rnacentral:misc_RNA from 1 species
AAUCUCUAAGAUUUCCUACAUCAAUCAGUUAACUAUCAUCAAGUAAAAGAUAAUGAUCAAGUCCACAACCUAAACGAAAAUUCAACCUCCAAGAGAACCACUGAUUCUGGCAAAACAAAAAAUAAAAUUAAAAAUUGGGAAAAGGUUAAAAAAGAAAACUUGCUUGUGUUUCAAAACUAAGUUGAGGAUAAGAAAUCGGAAGAUCAUAAUUGAAAGAAAGCAUAAGAUGCAUGAAAGUGAACUUACUUGAUAUAGAAGUCAAUAAU